rnacentral:piRNA from 1 species
UGGGAAGUUGGACUUUCUGGGUGAAUCAA